rnacentral:rRNA from 1 species
GAUGAACGCUGGCGGCGUGCCUAAUACAUGCAAGUCGAGCGAAAAGACGAGGAGCUUGCUCGUCGGACGUUAGCGGCGGACGGGUGAGUAACACGUGGAUAACCUACCUAUAAGACUGGGAUAACUUCGGGAAACCGGCGCUAAUACCGGAUAAUAUAUUGAACCGCAUGGUUCAAUGGAAGAAGACGGCUUUGCUGGCAGUUAUGGAUGGAUCCGCGCCGCAUUAGCUAGUUGGUAGGGUAACGGCUUCCGAAGGCUAUGAGGGGUAGCCGACCUGAGAGCGUGACCGGGCACAUGGGGCCUGAGAUACGGCCCAGUCUGCUAUGGGAGGCAGCAGGGGGGAAUAUUGCACAAUGGGCGGAAGCCAGAUGCAGCAACGUCGCGUGCGGGAUGCUGGCCUUCGGGUGGUAAACCGCUUUGGCCGGUGACGAAGCGGGAGUGACGGUAAUUGGUAAAGAAGCACCGGCUAACUACGUG